rnacentral:lncRNA from 1 species
GGAUCCCCGAAUUCAAGCCCUAGGAGGGACCCCAGGCCCGAAUGGCCCCAAGCGAGCCUGCAGCCAUUGACGGAAAAAUGACAACCGGGUAUCUUCGAACGACGUAAAAGUCGAAAAGGAGCUCGACAAAUAACAAUCCAACACGAAUAAAAGAGGUCAUCGAUGACCUUAGGACGACGUGAAAAAGAAAAGAAGAAAAGGAGGAAGAGAGAAGAAAGAAGAAUAAAGAAGUUCGACAGACAACUAUUCGAUGUAAGAUGCAGAUGAGGUAACAAAAUCUCUUUUUCAUUUUUCAACCAACAAGGUGUACGUUACAAGACCCGGUGGG